AGAGACCGGCGCACGGGUGCGUAACGCGUAUGCAAUCUACCUUUCACAGAGGGAUAGCCCAGAGAAAUUUGGAUUAAUACCUCAUAGUAUAGCAGUUUCGCAUGAAACCACUAUUAAAGUCACAACGGUGAAAGAUGAGCAUGCGUCCCAUUAGCUAGUUGGUAAGGUAACGGCUUACCAAGGCAACGAUGGGUAGGGGUCCUGAGAGGGAGAUCCCCCACACUGGUACUGAGACACGGACCAGACUCCUACGGGAGGCAGCAGUGAGGAAUAUUGGACAAUGGGCGCAAGCCUGAUCCAGCCAUGCCGCGUGCAGGAUGACGGUCCUAUGGAUUGUAAACUGCUUUUGUACAGGAAGAAACCCUUUCACGUGUGGAAGAUUGACGGUACUGUAAGAAUAAGGAUCGGCUAACUCCGUGCCAGCAGCCGCGGUAAUACGGAGGAUCCAAGCGUUAUCCGGAAUCAUUGGGUUUAAAGGGUCCGUAGGCGGUCAGAUAAGUCAGUGGUGAAAGCCCAUCGCUCAACGGUGGA
rnacentral:rRNA from 1 species